rnacentral:rRNA from 1 species
CCACGGGAGGCAGCAGUGGGGAAUAUUGGACAUGGGCGGAAGCCUGAUCCAGCAAUGCCGCGUGAGUGAUGAAGGCCUUAGGGUUGUAAAGCUCUUUUACUAGGGAUGAUAAUGACAGUACCUGGAGAAUAAGCUCCGGCUAACUCCGUGCCAGCAGCCGCGGUAAUA